UGAUGGUCUGAACCGAUCCCUUACCGAAAGAUUUGGUGCCGAUGAUCAGCGCGCGGCGGUGAUCCUUCAGGGCGCCAGCCACGAUUUCGGAUGCGGAUGCGGAACCGCCAUUGAUCAGAACCACGAUCGGCAGACCUUCUAGAUCAUCACCGGUGCUCGCAUUGUAGCGCUGGCUGUCCUCUUCGCGGCGGCCACGGGUCGAGACAAUCUCGCCCUUGUCGAGGAAGAUAUCUGAGACCGAAAUCGCCUGAUCGAGCAGGCCACCGGGAUUAUUGCGC
rnacentral:ncRNA from 1 species